AUCUCCUAGACUUCUUAUGAGAAUCAAAUGAGAUGAUGCAAUAAAACCUUUAGCUGAAUCUGUUUCAUAGUGAGUGCUCAAGAAAUGCUAGCUAUUUUGUCAUUCCAUUGGUGCUUACAGUACCUCAUCGUCAUUUGUUAGCUUUUCUGGCAUGCAUACCAUCCAUUUGAAAACAGAGUUUUUGUAGUUACAGCAAUGCUGUAUAUAAUAUCAAAUUAUUAAAGACAGUGGAAAGUAAUUUAUGUCCCCCAGAUGAAUUCCUUGAUUGAUUGUAAGAAAGUUGCUGUUUCUCCAUAUUAUAUUUUGACCACGAUUGAAAUGAUCCCAUCUGCCAAAGGAGAAUUAUUUCUUCUUUAUAGACAUAGUAAAAAAAAAACUCACUCAUGGAUAAAUAUAUGUGCAUAUGUGAAAUAUGAAUACAGUGAUUUCACAUUUUUAAAAUUCCUGGCAAUCAAAUGGGAUUGUGAUAGAUUAUCUUUCUUAACAUAACUUUUCUUCGUAGAUAUUAAUGUAAUAGUUCUUAUGGGUGAUGUUUAAAAUGUUUAAGGAAGCAAAGCUUAGCUGUAAAAUCGGGUAUCUGCUUGAUGAUCACAAGUGUCCCAUUCAGGUCUAAAAUGCUUAUGAAGUUUAAAUUGCUUUGCAGUGUCUUGUGAUCUUUCAGUUACCUUUAAGUGAUUGAUUUAAUGAGCUUCUAUUAUUAUGUUUUAGGCACGGUGUUUGGAAUGCAAAAUGAACUGGACACUUUCUUUCCUGAAAGAUAUUAUUGUUCAGGGGUUGACAACAUUUUCUAUAAAGAGCCAGAUUAGUGGUUCUCAAGUAGAGAUAAGCUUGCCCCAAGAAAUAUUUGACAAUGUCUGGAGACUCUUUUUUGUCAAAACUGGGGUGGAGGAGUGGUUGGAGAGGAGUAAAGCGUUAUUGAAGGGAAGAUGCCAUUGGUGUGGGUGGAGGUCAAGAAUGUUGCCACACUGUAGGCCUACAAUGCAUAGAAUAGUGCUUCUGUGACAAGGAAUUACCCAGUCCUGGAUCUCAAUUAUGCCGAAGCUGAGUGUCUCUGGACCCGACAGUAAAUAGUUUUGGUUUAAUGAGCCAUAUGGUCUCUAUCACGACUAUCAAACUGUCAUGGAGCAUGCGAGCAGUCAUAGGUAAUAUAUAAACAAACAAGUGUGUCUGUGUUCUAAUAAAACUUUAUUUACAAGAGCAGGAAGUGAACUGGAUUGGCCCCAGGGGGUUAGUUUGCUGACUCUUGCUAUAGUUAAAUGGCAGGCAAAACCUGAUAAUUAUAGUGCAACAUAUUAAAUUCUAUCUAUCUGUCUAUCCACCUAGAUCUAUCUAGCUAUCUGUCUACCUAAAUAGAUAGAUUAGUCAAAGUUUUCACAGGUUUAUAAUGAAGCCCCAGAUAUGAGCACUUAGCCUGAUCUGAGAUACUAGAGAUGGUCUCCUGAAAGAGAAAGAACAUGAACAAAAGUUUUAAAAAAAAUUCUUUGAAGAGUGAGGAGUUAGACAAAAACAGUAAUUUCUUGGAGAGGGAGUAGCAUCAGUAAAGUCACAAGCAUGCAAAAUAGCAUGAUAAGCAUGGAGAACUAAUAAUA